CUGAAAUCAUUUUUUUUAAGUUUUUAGAUGGUUUUAUUAAACUGCAACAUCUGCUAGGUUUGGAUUUUCAUUCAUGGUAAGGCACAUUUUUUGGUAAUGCAUUUAAAGAAUAAAGAGAGAUGGACAAGUUACUUUAAAGAAUCCGGUUUGGAAGCACAAAUCUUAGCAUUUAUUCCUCAUGUGCCACUACAUGGUAGCAAACUAGUUGCACUUACUGAAUUUUUAGUUUAGUGAAUUAGUUUUUAACCACCAUCCAGAUAAUUGAGUAUACAGAACAUCGUUUGGGAGACAUCAGACUACUGUGGGAAAUCGGCAAGGCAUGAGAAGAGCGUUUUACUCUAUGAGGUCGACACGAGAUUGUCGGUCUUUUAUGCCAGCAAGUACCUGAAUGAGAUGUGUAGAUCUGCUGCUGAUACAUUCAUACGUUACUCACUGUAACAUAAUUAACCAUGUGCUUUGUAUUUAGCGAGAGCUUUUGUAUAAGUAAUAAAAUUCAGCGUAUUUAUUUUCAAA